CGAAUAAUAUAGGCUAUAGAAAAUAGGUUUCCGCAAAAAAGUGUUUAAAUACCCUGUAAUUAUUCGACUUAGAAGGUUUCGUAACCAACAUCGGUAAUUGUCCGUAACAGGAAAACGAGAAACUAAUUGCACACGAAGAGACGCAGUAAUUAUCGACUAACUCCUUCGGCACAGAAAUGGACGUAACAGUACGUCAACGAUCUCGAAAGCGUUAAUACUGUUGGUAAAUGUAAGUGACAGACAUGAGAAAAUAUUAUUGGAAAGAAUUUCGAGUUGAAUUAAAAACACAUUAGGUACUUAUAUACCUUUUCGUUUUGUAAAACUAAGUCAAUAUAUGAAAUAGUUGCGUGCGGAUUAUGUACACUGCCGCUCGUGAAUCUAAUAAUGAUAAAUUAAUAACAAACCAACGAUCAAAAGUAUCGCUCACCGUUUUCUUAUAGAAUUAGCAAAUGUAGGAAGAUUGUUUAUUUAAAAUGUUAACAAUGGCAGGUUAAGUCCACGUACACAUAUUCAAAAGAAAUCGAAUACGGCGCAAUCGUUGUCAAAAGAUAAAAACUAGUAUCGCUAUCUCAAUCUGAUCUACUUUAAAAAUGAAAGGCUUCCCGGAGGCUGUUUACUAUAAUUCGACGUGGCCAUAUCUAUCUACAUAUAUACGCCUACAUCUGUCUACCAUACACACAGAUACGAACUGAAUUAUGUAAAAGGUAUGUGAAAUAAUAUUUGUAAAUUCCUUCUUUGUGCAGAUGUUAUUUCAGUCCGUGAAUUAUUUUUACCUUAAAAAUUAUAUACCUAAAUAUUGUAUGACAAAAAAUAUGAAUAAAGUAUUUAAUAGAAUACUAAA